UCCUUGGUGGCCCAGUAGUUAAGAACUGAGCAUUGUCACUGCUGUGGCUCAGGUUCAAGCCCUGGCCUGGGAA
rnacentral:tRNA from 1 species